rnacentral:rRNA from 1 species
UGGGGAAUAUUGCACAAUGGGGGAAACCCUGAUGCAGCGACGCCGCGUGAGCGAAGAAGGUUUUCGAAUCGUAAAGCUCUGUCCUAUGAGAAGAUAAUGACGGUAUCAUAGGAGGAAGCCCCGGCUAAAUACGUGCCAGCAGCCGCGGUAAUACGUAUGGGGCGAGCGUUAUCCGGAUUUACUGGGUGUAAAGGGCGUGCAGGCGGGCUGAUAAGUCAGAUGUGAAAUCCCCGAGCUUAACUCGGGAACUGCAUCUGAUACUGUUGGUCUUGAGUGCUGGAGAGGAUAGUGGAAUUCCUAGUGUAGCGGUAAAAUGCGCAGAUAUUAGGAGGAACACCAGUGGCGAAGGCGGCUAUCUGGACAGUAACUGACGCUGAGGCGCGAAAGCGUGGGUAGCAAACAGG